AUUAUUUUAGUAUAUACGUACAUUUACCUUCCAAGUAAAAAGAUUAGCAAACUAAAAAUAGUA
rnacentral:tRNA from 1 species